rnacentral:rRNA from 1 species
AUUGAACGCUGGCGGCAGGCCUAACACAUGCAAGUCGAGCGAGCGGCGGACGGGUGAGUAAUGCCUAGGAAUCUGCCUGGUAGUGGGGGAUAACGUCCGGAAACGGUACCUAAUACCGCAUACCAUCGGAUGUGCCCAGAGGGGAUUAGCUAGUAGGUGGGGUAAAGGCUCACCUAGGCGACGAUCCCUAGCUGGUCUGAGAGGAUGACCAGCCACACGGGAACUGAGACACUGUCCAGACUCCUACGGGGGGCAGCAGAUGAGAAUAUUGCACAAUUGGCGCAAGCCUGAUGCAGCCAUGCCGCGUGUAUGAAGAAGGCCUUCUGGUUGUAAAGUACUUUCAGCGGGAAGGCGUUACCCGCAGAAGAAGCGCCGGCUAACUCCUUGCCAGCAGCCGCGGUAAUUC